rnacentral:tRNA from 1 species
GGGGGGAUGGCGCAGUGGUGAAGCGCCUGGAAAAGCUCUGCUGAAGCAGAGUCUGAAGGUUCGAAUCCUUCUCUCCUCA